rnacentral:misc_RNA from 1 species
GUGGUGGUUGAUGUUUCUAACUUGAUUUAUGACUGGCUACCAGCUUGACCCCUCCCACCCCUGUCGUUCGGUCUCUUCGUCUUCUAUGCUCUGCAGCUGCUUGUCGUGAACAUCGAGGAUACCAUUUCUUCUUCGUUUCUAUCUUCUUCCAUGGUGCUCAUAAGAACUCUUUGGCUCUUUCAGCUAAUUCUCCUUCUCCUCUUCUUCGCUUCGCUCUCUGGAGCUCUCGACCUCUCCGAUUCAGAUCGGCUCGACGUCGCCAACGACACUGCCGUCUCCAACUCCUCCCUCUCUCAACCUAAAGAUGGCAGUUUCGCUAAAAUCAUCGAUGAUGCUCUUCGGAAGGAGUUCCCUGAGAAUGAACAAAACGACGCAACUGAUUCUGGAAGCUUCAACAAUAGUGUAGCUGAUCAGCAGGCAGUUCUGGAAACUGUUGCCAGAGUUAAACUGAAGAAAAAUGACACAAAAGAGGAAAAGUCAUUUAUUUUCAAUUUGGAAAAUGAUAAUGGAGCUGAAGAUACUCCUACACUGAUAGAUAGAAAGGACAACAUCUUCAUUAUAUCUAAUUUUAAAUCAAAAUAUCCAGUGCUGCAGUUGGAUUUGAGAUUGAUAUCAGAUUUGGUUGUCGUCAUUGUGUCUGCAACUUGUGGUGGCAUUGCGUUUGCGUGUGCCGGACAGCCGGUCUGCAUAUUUGAUCUAAGCUUAGUUCAUGACACACUGCAAUGCUAGGAUAUAAUUCAAUGUCUGAGCAUGCAUUCUUUAAGUUAUUUGAGCAUAUUCUUUAAGUUAUCUGAGCAUACUUAUUCAUUUGAACAGUUUCUAACACCAACAUUUUACAGGUUAUUACUGGAUACUUGCUAGCAGGGUCUGUUAUCGGGCCUGGAGGGUUCAGCUUUGUCAGUGAAAUGGUGCAAGUUGAGACAGUUGCUCAAUUUGGUGUCAUUUUUCUUCUUUUUGCGUUGGGCCUGGAGUUCUCAACUGCAAAACUUCGAGUUGUACGGGCAGUUGCCGUUUUAGGAGGUCUGCUCCAAAUUGUUUUAUUUAUGUUCCUAUGUGGGAUUACAGCGAUGUUAUGUGGUGGUAAGCCUUCUGAGGGUAUAUUUGUUGGUGCUAUCCUUUCGAUGUCUUCAACAGCAGUGGUUUUAAAGUUUUUGAUGGAAAAGAAUUCUACUAAUGCCCUUCAUGGUCAAGUCACCAUUGGCACCCUCAUUCUGCAGUUAUUUAGCUCCUUUUCCUUGCACUUAUUCUGAUACCUUGAGUCCACUCUGUCAGUAUGUUAUUACUGAUUCCGGACUGUGCUGUUGGUUUGCUGUUUGCAUUGCUUCCAGUUCUUGGUGGAACUUCUGGUGUUCUUCAAGGAGUAAUAUCCAUGACUAAAUUGUAAGUAAAUAACUUCAGAACGAACUAAAUGUCCCAGGGAGGAUUUUUCUUUUUCAAGGGUUGACACAACAUUGCCUGGAAUUAACAAAUUUGAGAAUGUAGGAUCUGGUAAGUUAAUCGCUUUUUGGGCAAGUUAGCAACAUCUCGAUUUUGGUGCACAUAAAAUAGACUGUCUUUUCUACAUUACCAUUUAAGGAAAUUGAAAUAUCAAGAAUCAUGCUUGUAAAGAAAGUCUUAAAUACUCUAGAACUCUCUUCCACUUUCUUCUUUAUUCGUCUCUCUCCCCCUACUAUCUCUAUGCCCCCUGCUUCCUUGUUUUCCUUAACAUGUGCAUUCUGACAUAAUUUUAUAAAAAAUGGUCAAUAAUGAUGGAUGGGAAUCCUAACAUCAUCCAAUUUUGUAAAAGAGAGAGUUAGGAUGGUUAUUUAUUUAUGAAAUCAAUCAAUUGUUGAGCAUGACUUAUAUCCAAAGAUUACUUGUAUAGUAGCAGCAUCUUGUAGGAUGGGGAAGGGAUUUUUUUUUUUUUUUU